rnacentral:misc_RNA from 1 species
GAUGAAGAACGUAGCGAAAUGCGAUAAGUAAUGUGAAUUGCAGAAUUCCGUGAAUCAUCGAAUCUUUGAACGCAUAUUGCGCCCUCUGGUAUUCCGGGGGGCAUGCCUGUUCGAGCGUCAUUAUAACCACUCAAGCUCUCGCUUGGUAUUGGGGUUCGCGGUUUCGCGGCCCCUAAAAUCAGUGGCGGUGCCUGUCGGCUCUACGCGUAGUAAUACUUCUCGCGAUUGAGUUCGAUAGGUCUACUUGCCAGUAACCCCCAAUUUUUACAGGUUGACCUCGGAUCAGGUAGGGAUACCCGCUGAACUUAAGCAUAUCAAUAAGCGGAGGA